UACGGAGGGUGCAAGCGUUAUCCGGAUUCACUGGGUUUAAAGGGUGCGUAGGUGGGUUGGUAAGUCAGUGGUGAAAUCUCCGAGCUUAACUUGGAAACUGCCAUUGAUACUAUCAAUCUUGAAUAUUGUGGAGGUCAGCGGAAUAUGCCAUGUAGCGGUGAAAUGCUUAGAUAUGACAUAGAACACCAAUUGCGAAGGCAGCUGGCUACACAAAUAUUGACACUGAGGCACGAAAGCGUGGGGAUCAAACAGG
rnacentral:rRNA from 1 species